CUUCAUACAAGAAAUACAUCACAAGAAUUGUUUUGGUUUGAGGACACUACUGCGGCUCUUUCUUGAUAGAAACCGAUUGUACCGUGUUGACCUGACUUGCUUCAUCCACACACCAGCACUUCAGGAACUGAAUUUGGCCCACAAUGAACUAACACUGGAUAAUCAAAGUUUCCCUCACUUACCAAACCUCACUAAUUUGUACCUCAACAACAACUCCCUCACCACCAUCACUGAGAGACUCCUGUUCAACCUGACUGCUGUUAGAACAUUGCAAG